AUUUAGCUGAACCUGACAAAGCAUGGAUGCUGGUAGUUGACGAAAGUUGCUGAGUCGUCACAUUGUUAAUGCUAGGCCUUAGAUUGUUGGAGUUGUGUAUGUUUAGUUUAAACAAAUUAGUUGUUGACGCUCUGUGGGUCAAAACUUGGAGCUAGGGCCCUGACAGCAAAGGAGGCACAUCAAGCCGCCCUGUACCACAUUUUUUACUCUGGGAUUGGGGUAAUUUAUGAC
rnacentral:lncRNA from 1 species